AGCGAACGCUGGCGGCAGGCCUAACACAUGCACGUCGAACGGACCCUUCGGGGUUAGUGGCGGACGGGUGAGUAACACGUGGGAACGUGCCUUUAGGUUCGGAAUAGCUCCUGGCAACGGGUGGUAAUGCCGCCUGGGCCAUUCGGGGGAUAGAUUUAUCGCCUUUAGAGCGGGCCUCGUCUGAUUAGCUAGUUGGUGAGGUAAUGGAUCACAAAGGCGACGAUCGGUAGCUGGUCUGAGAGGAUGACCAGCCACACUGGGACUAGAGACACGGCCCAGACUCCUACGGGAGGCAGCAGUGGGGAAUCUUGCGCAAUGGGCGAAAGCCUGACGCAGCCAUGCCGCGUGAAUGAUGAAGGUCUUCGGAUUGUAAAAUUCUUUCACCGGGGACGAUAAUGACGGUACCCGGAGAAGAAGCCCCGGCUAACUUCGUGCCAGCCGCCGCCGUAA
rnacentral:rRNA from 1 species